GUCUGGCCCCACCUGGAGCCAGGGCGCGGGGAAGGCUAGGGGCCGGCAAGGGGCCAGGCCUGCCCACUGUUCCGCCGCGGGGACACCCAGACGAACCUGACAUGGGACUGAGCACUGACCUUAGAGGGUAUGGAGGCCGGAGCUUCCGAGCUACCAAGGACUCCAGAUAAACUUAAACAGGGAUGAAAUUGCUACCCAUAACCUGAGAAUUGACCUGUUUCCAGGAUUUGGAGUCCAUGGGGUGAUAGCCUGAGCUCAGGCAGCCAUCUUGGACCAUGACGACUGCAAGGAUGGAGAAUCAACAAAAUAACAAAGUGGAAGGAGCUCUGUCUUUGAUGAUUGUGGAGCCACUGGCUUAGAAUUGCUUACCACCUUACUUUGUCUCAGGAAGGGAAAAACAAUUUUAUCAUGUUCAGGCCGUGGUUAUUUUGUGACUCCCUCACAUGGAACUAAACCAAACUUGGUUAAUGCAUGAGACCUUUCCAGCCCCAUUCCCCUUACACUGUUGCUCCACCAGCUCUACCAAAUUACAUGCAGCUGUCUUUGCUAGCAUUCCUUUGCACAGCAUCUACUGCAGGGUGAUACAGAGAGCCCAUCACCUGUCUCCCUCACUUCCUGUAAACAUCUCUGGAGCAGAGACCGUAUCUUUCUUGGAUAACUGCCAAGUCAAUGUGGUUGACUUCUUUAGGGCCAGAAAAAGAGGGAUAGGGAAUGGAUAUUUAUUGGAUCCCAGUUAUAUGUACUUUAUAUUUUAUUUGUCUAGCUAUUGGAACACUCUAUAAGGAGUGGGACAUUAUUAUUGCUCUUUUGCUGGUGGGGAAAUGGAAGUUCAUACAGACAAAACUGUUUCCAAAAUAUGCAUGAAUAACAAGUGGCAGAUUUAACCGUGGAACCCAAGUCCGUCUGACCUGCUGCUGCAGCCCUCUUGGCCCACUUAGAAGAUUCCAUGUCAGUUCAUGGGCUGGGCUGUGGCUGAGUGAUCUUUGAUGAAUUAUUUCCCUUCUUGGUUCUCCUUUGAGGUCGUCACACUCAGCUGCUUUUCACAUGCUGGUUUGUGAAGGAUGAGUAAGCACCUUCCUGAAGCUGACCUCAGUUUGGGAAUGGAUGGCCUCUGCUUCAGGUUUUGGUGUUCAGGGGAUUUUGAGGUUCCUCAAAAAUUAAAAAUAGAACUACCAUAUGAUCCAGAAAUUCCACUCCUAGGCAUUUAUCCAGAGAAAAUGAAAACACUAAUUUGAAGAGAUAUACGCACCUCAGUGUUUACUGUAGCAUCAUUUAAAAUAGCCUUGAUAGGGAAGCAACCUAAGUGUAAAUAAUGUGUAAUUUUUUGAGGAACCUCCAUACUGUUUUCCAUA